UACUUUUAUUCAACAUGUCACUGGAUCACUGUUGGUUUUCUCUGCUAUUGCUUUCUUUUCUAACAGGUGUCAGCUGUGACAAACUCACUCCAGUCAACAGUGAAAAGUCCAGUGUAGAAGGCAGCGCGGCUACUCUGUCCUACACAUACACCAAACUGUCGGGUGGUGAUUACUUCUUAUGGUAUCGCCAAUAUCCAGGAAAACCACCACAGUUCCUCAUCCCACAUUCUGGUUCAGGAGAAAUAGGAAAUAAUCCAGUCACUGGUCUGAAAGUUGAAGUGGAGCAAACGCAAAUAAAUCUGGAGAUCAUCUCAGCCAACGUCUCUGACUCUGCUGUGUACUACUGUGCUCUGCAGCCCACAGUGACAGGAAACACCAGGACUCUGUACAAAAACCUCUGGAGCAAACACAACACAACGCUCCACAACGUCCACUAGAGGGAGCCACACACUGUGAACGUCACUGCUCUGUGAUGCUUCAGUUUAGAAACUUGUAGUGAUGAUAACACAACAUUAAGUAGUGAAGAUUAUACACAAUGAGGUACAGUUGUUUCAUACAACACAAACUGAUGAUAACAAG